UGGGGAAUAUUGGACAAUGGAGGGAACUCUGAUCCAGCAAUUCUGUGUGUGUGAAGAAGGUUUUAGGACUGUAAAACACUUUUAGUAGGGAAGAAAAAAAUGACGGUACUUACAGAAGAAGCAACGGCUAAAUACGUGCCAGCAGCCGCGGUAAUACGUAUGUUGCGAGCGUUAUCCGGAAUUAUUGGGCUUAAAGGGCAUCUAGGCGGUAAGACAAGUUGAAGGUGAAAACCUGUGGCUCAACCAUAGGCUUGCCUACAAAACUGUUGAACUAGAGUACUGGAAAGGUGGGUGGAACUACACGAGUAGAGGUGAAAUUCGUAGAUAUGUGUAGGAAUGCCGAUGAUGAAGAUAACUCACUGGACAGAAACUGACGCUGAAGUGCGAAAGCUAGGGGAGCAAACAGG
rnacentral:rRNA from 1 species